AUGAGAAUAAAUGCAUCUGAAAUGCGAAUAAAUGCAUCUAAGAUGCGAAUGGACGCAUCUGAAAUGCGAAUAAAUGCAUCUAAGAUGCGAAUGGACGCAUCUA
rnacentral:pre_miRNA from 1 species